rnacentral:tRNA from 1 species
CGGGGUGUGGCGCAGUUGGCUUAGCGCACCUGCUUUGGGAGCAGGGGGUCCUCCGUUCGAGUCGGAGUACCCCGACCA